rnacentral:lncRNA from 1 species
AGGCACAAAGGGAAAUGAGUCACAAUCCAGGGAAGAUGAUAGUGCGUCAGCGUCAGAGGACAAAGUAACUGACCCAAAGGGUAGUGGAUCACAAUCCGGGGAAGAUGAAUUAAAAAAUGAAGAUGAUAGUGCAUCAGAGGACAACAUAACUGAUGUUGCAAAAGACACAAAAGGUAGUGGGUCACAAUCCGGGGAAGAUGGCGAUGAUAGUGCAUCAGUGGACAAAAUAACUGAAGAGGGGAUUGAGCCCCCAGCCACGGACAAAACACUGGUUCAGGAGGUUGAUGUGGAAAAUGUCCCAACUACUACUGACUUACAGGCACCUCCUACAAAGCCUUGUGAUGAAACCGAUAUGACAAAGGCUUUGCUUGGCUCAAACAAUGAGUCUAGCCCGAUGGGUUUAUUUGCGUCUACUGUCACGGAAGAGUGGAUAACCAGUAUGAAAACGGUAUCUGACAUGGUGAAACAAAGCAAGGACUCGCCUGCUGCAGUUGCCGUGCUAGCCAAUUCCCUCAAGCAGAUUACUAAGAGCAGUACCAAUCCAGGAAAAGAAAAUAUUGAAAAACUGAUAAAUAAAGUUCUUUCAGCUGCUGAAAGGUCUGAUAAAGGCUCUUCAUCUAUCAAUCCACUUCUGUGUCUUUCGUAUGAGCUACUGGAAUUUGGAUUCUCAUUGAAAGAUGCCAUCCUGGACUGUUUUUGGCAUAGCUUGGACUUCUUUGAGCACUCUGGCUGCGUUUACUACCGUGACCUGAUCACACAAUGGAUACUCGAAGGCUACUUUGAUCCCGUCAGGUCCGUCGAAAAGGCGUACCAGGAUGGUCACUUAAUCUUGAUGGAGCUUAUAAACCGCGGGAUGCUCAAGAUACAAGAAAACAACGUGGUGGUACCAGAGAGGGCCAUGAGCAGUUUGAUUGAUCCUCGACGCCGCGGGCUUCUUGGGAGAUCAAGGCUUAGAUUCUCUAGAGUCUAUCGCGGUGACAAGAAGAAAGGUAUAGGGAAAAUCACACAGAUAGAUGAUAUGAUCAAGACAGUGCAAGCGAAGAAAGGAGACAAGGCUACCACCGUUCUGGUUAGUGGAGACCGUCUUCGUCGUGAGACUCCUGAAAAGUAUUUUAAGAAGCUGAGCGAUCUUGAAGUACUAGGCCUGUUCGAGCCCACGCUGGACCCUUUUGUGUCGGCCUUUUCGAUUCUUCCCAAACUCAGGGUUCUUGUAAUCAGGGACUGUGAUUUACUGACGGAUAUUGAAGAGCUUAAGGCUCUUAAACAGCUGCACGCUCUUGAAGUCUCUGGUGCUAGCUCCUUGAAGAAAAUCUCUGAUGACUUCUUUAAAGCAUUGUCUAAACUUCAAAGUCUACACCUGUCUGGUCUUCAGAUCACAACUUCCCCUUCGAGCAUUUCCGAACUGAAAGAGCUUCACUGUCUCAUCAUCAAGGACUGCCCUUUGCUGGAAGAUUUGCCAGAUAUACAAGAACUCGUAAAGCUUGAGGUUGUUGAUGUUUCCGGUGCUCGCGGGCUUCAGACUUGUUUCGACAACACGAAAGGCAAGAAGAAAAACAAAAGCAAGAACAAGAACUUCUAUCAUCUGACAAGACUUCAGCUCCUUGACUUCUCAGAGAGCCAAAUAGAGCGGCUGCCGAUAUUCCAGGACUCUGCGGUAGGCGACAAGCUUCACUCCGUCAAGCGGCUCUUGUUGCGCGACUGUAGCAAGCUGAGAAGGUUGCCUAGUUUGAAGCCCUUGUCAGGUCUGCAAAUUCUCGAUCUUUCGGGUACUACAAGCUUAGUGGAGAUGCUUGAAGUGUGCUUUGAAGAUAAGAAGGAACUCAAAACUCUUGAUCUCUCGGGAACCAAUCUUAACGAGCUGGCUACGACCAUCGAGGAGCUGUCUAGUCUCAACAAACUGCUUCUGAAGGAUUGCACCAACCUAGAGGUUCUCCCAAACAUCACAAAACUCACAAGUCUCGAGGUCAUUGAUGUUUCCGGAUGUACUAAGUUGCAUACGAUUGAGGGAUCAUUUGAGGAUAUGUCUUACCUGUGUGAAGUGAAUCUCUCUGGAACCAAAGUGAAGACACCAGAGUUGCCAAAAGAGACAAAAAUCAGUUGUCUAAAGCAUAUUGUUCUGGCAGAUGGAAAGCGUUUUGAAGGUGAGGAAUGGAGCAAGAUAAGGGAUGAGAUUGAAAGUAAGAGAUCUGACGAGGCCAGCUCCUCUGACUCAGUUGUUAAGUCAGAAGGAAUAAGAGAAGCGAUUCAGCAGAAUAAAGCUCACACCAGUGAUGGUACUGAGAAGGGAGAUGUCAUCAAGGAACGUCUUCUCCAUGUUCCCAUUGAGAGGGAGAUAUAUAAGGAGAUAUUCUCACGUUUUGAUUCCGCAAGUCAGCAGGAAAUAACUGAUGCUGCAACAGGCACAAAGGGAAAUGAGUCACAAUCCAGGGAAGAUGAUAGUGCGUCAGCGUCAGAGGACAAAGUAACUGACCCAAAGGGUAGUGGAUCACAAUCCGGGGAAGAUGAAUUAAAAAAUGAAGAUGAUAGUGCAUCAGAGGACAACAUAACUGAUGUUGCAAAAGACACAAAAGGUAGUGGGUCACAAUCCGGGGAAGAUGGCGAUGAUAGUGCAUCAGUGGACAAAAUAACUGAAGAGGGGAUUGAGCCCCCAGCCACGGACAAAACACUGGUUCAGGAGGUUGAUGUGGAAAAUGUCCCAACUACUACUGACUUACAGGCACCUCCUACAAAGCCUUGUGAUGAAACCGAUAUGACAAAGGCUUUGCUUGGCUCAAACAAUGAGUCUAGCCCGAUGGGUUUAUUUGCGUCUACUGUCACGGAAGAGUGGAUAACCAGUAUGAAAACG